rnacentral:rRNA from 1 species
GCUAGCAGCUAUAUCACCCUGCAACUCGCAACUGGCUAACCACUGGAGCUCAGCAGGUGUGAGCCUGGCUAGUACCAGGAUGGGAGACUCCUGGGAAAGCUGAGGCUGCUGGAA